GCUCCUGUAGUCUAGUGGCAAGGACAUCGGCUUCUCGAGCCGAUAACCUGGGUUCAAAUCCCAGCAGGAGCA
rnacentral:tRNA from 2 species